rnacentral:rRNA from 1 species
UGCAGCAGGCGCGAAACCUUUACACUGCACGACAGUGCGAUAGGGGAACUCCGAGUGCGAGGGCAUAGAGCCCUCGCUUUUCUGUACCGUAAGGUGGUACAGGAAGAAGGGCUGGGCAAGACCGGUGCCAGCCGCCGCGGUAAUACCGGCAGCCCAAGUGAUGGCCGAUAUUAUUGGGCCUAAAGCGUCCGUAGCUGGCCGGACAAGUCCGUUGGGAAAUCCGCACGCUUAACGUGCGGGCGUCCAGCGGAAACUGUCCGGCUUGGGACCGGAAGACCCGAGGGGGACGUCCGGGGUAGGAGUGAAAUCCUGUAAUCUUGAACGGACCACCCUUCGAAAGCGCCUCCGAAGACGGAUUCCACAGCUCGGGAUCAAAGCCCGCCCGCCG